rnacentral:rRNA from 1 species
UAGGGAAUCUUCCGCAAUGGGCGAAAGCCUGACGGAGCAACGCCGCGUGAGUGAUGAAGGUCUUCGGAUCGUAAAACUCUGUUAUUAGGGAAGAACAAAUGUGUAAGUAACUAUGCACUUCUUGACGGUACCUAAUCAGAAAGCCACGGCUAACUACGUGCCAGCAGCCGCGGUAAUACGUAGGUUGCAGGCGUUAUCCGGAAUUAUUGGGCGUAAAGCGCGCGUAGGCGGUUUUUUAAGUCUGAUGUGAAAGCCCACGGCUCAACCGUUGAGGGUCAUUGGAAACUGGAAAACUUGAGUGCAGAAGAGGAAAGUGGAAUUCCAUGUGUAGCGGUGAAAUGCGCAGAGAUAUGGAGGAACACCAGUGGCGAAGGCGACUGUCUGGUCUGUAACUGACGCUGAUGUGCGAAAGCGUGGGGAUCAAACAGG